UCUCGCGUUGUGUUUUGAUCGUUCGAAACUCAUUGCCAGAACGAAUGCAAAUUUCAUUUGGGAAGGAUCGGUGCCGGAAGAUGCAGUGAAAAUUAUAAAAUGUUUAUAGAAAAGUGAUUAAGUAAAUCGUGAAAGAUGUCAACGCAGGCGUAAAUGCAGUUUGUUUUGUUACUUGAUCUACGGCAAUUUCAUUACCAAAGCACCUGAUAACCGAUCAAAGAAGGUGAAUCGGGCUUACAGAGUCGCCGUUUAACUUCAAAUAUCUUCGUGAUUGGAAAACGCAUCAAACAGCAAGUGUUUCUCUUCCAACAGCACGCGCCAUCGUUGGAGCAAGCAGCCAACGUUUCAUUCGUCUAGCACGCACCAUCAAGAAUUGAAAUAUUCCCG